UUGUAUGUGUGUUUUUUCUUUCACAGGAUGAACGCUGGCGGCGUGCCUAAUACAUGCAAGUCGAGCGAACAGACGAGGAGCUUGCUCCUCUGACGUUAGCGGCGGACGGGUGAGUAACACGUGGGUAACCUACCUAUAAGACUGGGAUAACUCCGGGAAACCGGGGCUAAUACCGGAUAACACAUGAAACCGCAUGGUUUCAUGAUGAAAGACGGUUUUGCUGUCACUUAUAGAUGGACCCGCGGCGUAUUAGCUAGUUGGUAAGGUAACGGCUUACCAAGGCAACGAUACGUAGCCGACCUGAGAGGGUGAUCGGCCACACUGGAACUGAGACACGGUCCAGACUCCUACGGGAGGCAGCAGUAGGGAAUCUUCCGCAAUGGGCGAAAGCCUGACGGAGCAACGCCGCGUGAGUGAUGAAGGUCUUCGGAUCGUAAAACUCUGUUAUUAGGGAAGAACAAGGAUGUAAGUAACUGUGCAUCCCUUGACGGUACCUAAUCAGAAAGCCACGGCUAACUACGUGCCAGCAGCCGCGGUAAUACGUAGGUGGCAAGCGUUAUCCGGAAUUAUUGGGCGUAAAGCGCGCGUAGGCGGUUUUUUAAGUCUGAUGUGAAAGCCCACGGCUCAACCGUGGAGGGUCAUUGGAAACUGGAAAACUUGAGUGCAGAAGAGGAAAGUGGAAUUCCAUGUGUAGCGGUGAAAUGCGCAGAGAUAUGGAGGAACACCAGUGGCGAAGGCGACUUUCUGGUCUGCAACUGACGCUGAUGUGCGAAAGCGUGGGGAUCAAACAGGAUUAGAUACCCUGGUAGUCCACGCCGUAAACGAUGAGUGCUAAGUGUUAGGGGGUUUCCGCCCCUUAGUGCUGCAGCUAACGCAUUAAGCACUCCGCCUGGGGAGUACGGCCGCAAGGCUGAAACUCAAAGGAAUUGACGGGGACCCGCACAAGCGGUGGAGCAUGUGGUUUAAUUCGAAGCAACGCGAAGAACCUUACCAAAUCUUGACAUCCUUUGACAACUCUAGAGAUAGAGCUUUCCCCUUCGGGGGACAAAGUGACAGGUGGUGCAUGGUUGUCGUCAGCUCGUGUCGUGAGAUGUUGGGUUAAGUCCCGCAACGAGCGCAACCCUUAAGCUUAGUUGCCAGCAUUAAGUUGGGCACUCUAAGUUGACUGCCG
rnacentral:rRNA from 2 species